rnacentral:rRNA from 1 species
CAGAACGAACGCUGGCGGCGCGUCUUAAGCAUGCAAGUCGAACGGCAAGAGGUAGCAAUACCUCCUAGAGUGGCGGACUGGUGAGUAACACGUGGGUGACAUACCCUUCAGAUGGGGAUAGCUAUAGAAAUAGUAGAUAAUACCGAAUACGAGCACGAGGGGUUAGAGAUCUGUGAGGAAAGGAGCUAAGGCUCCGCUGAAGGAAUGGCCUGCGGCCCAUUAGCUAGUUGGUGAGGUAAGAGCCCACCAAGGCGAUGAUGGGUAUCCGGCCUUAGAGGGUGAACGGACACAUUGGGACUGAGAUACGGCCCAGACUCCUACGGGAGGCAGCAGCUAAGAAUAUUCCGCAAUGGACGAAAGUCUGACGGAGCGACGCCGCGUGGAUGAAGAAGGCCGGGAGGUUGUAAAAUCCUUUUGAAACUGAAGAAUAAGCGUUGUAGGGAAUGACAGCGUGGUGACAGUAGGUUUUGAAUAAGCAACGGCUAAUUACGUGCCAGCAGCUGC